rnacentral:misc_RNA from 1 species
CAGAGUAGGGGUCGACAUGACCAGUAUAUUGGUACUAGAUCAAGGUACUGAGAACUGAGAAGAUUUCUGAAAGUGUGAAAUUAGUGGCAGCCACAUUGAAUUUGGGCCGUCUUUUACAUGAGCUGUGAGCAUCUGCAAUCUCUUUAGGCAGAAACUGUUACUCGCUCUCGAAAAAUGUCCAGAGUCCUGAAUCUCUAGUAUGCGGCUGACUGCUGUUUACUCAGUUUCAGUUUAUUGAUUUUAUUUAAUGCCAAGUAUUCCUAGCUUAAAAGCAUGUUGUAAUCAAACAAUC